GAUAAAAAUCAGAGCUCAAUUUUGAUUUGAUUGACAACUUUCCAAAAUUCACCAGCGCUAAGCAGCAUCGAAUUACUUCUCGAAUCAUCAAAUCUUCAGCAUCCUCGAAACAAGCUUCUCUACAGAGAAAUGCACGAAGAACAAGGCAAACCAUUGAGGCGAAAAGCUACCAGAUGGUGCGAUAACAACACACAUUGACGGUUAAAUGGCUGGACCUAAGGAAAAAUCGAUCGAUGUUAAAAAGUCCCGAGAGAAAUCGAAAACUAAAGUGGUUGAAGUAGCAAAAAGCGAGAGACGAAGCAAAUUAAGGAAUGAUCCGCAUUUGAGCAUGGUCGAUGACGAUUUUGUGGAGGAUUCGCUUAUUAGAAUUGCAGUCAUUUGAAUGAGAAACGACAAGAAAUAAAGAAGUUUGCAAAGAGACAAAGGGAGGAAAGAUUCGCCAAAGGAUAUGUGAGGAAGGCAAAAUCCGUUGCCUAUCCUAAAUAAUAGAAAAUGACAUAUGUUGCUAGGAGGAACAUGAUCUUGUUGACAAAUUUAUUAAUUCUAGUAUCUUUAUGGACAUAAUUGGAUUUUGUUUAGUUGACCAUUGAGUCAUGUGGUAUUGAUUGGCUAGCUACAAUUUUGUUGUUGCACGUAAGAUUCCAUUGUUGAACCAAAAGAAUACGUUCUUAA